ensembl:snRNA U6 U6 spliceosomal RNA
GUGCUCGCUUUGGCAGCACAUAUACUAAAAUUGGAAUGAUGCAGAGAAGAUUAGCAUGUCCCCUGUGCAAGGAUGACACCCAAAUUUGUGAAACCUUCUGUAUUUAA